rnacentral:lncRNA from 1 species
CCUUACCCCUACCCGAAAGGGCAAAGAGGCUGUUUCCAAUCGACCCCCGGCUCAGUGAAGGAAAGGAAAGACAAAAACAAGAGAGCAUUAGUAAUUCCAUCAGAAAUAGCAUAAAUAAUUACUUAAACAUAAGAAACAUAAAUAAAAUAGCAUGCAAUAAUAUAAUACGGUAACUACCAUAAAUAACAACCAUAAGGGAGACACAAGCCAAAACACAAAUCAUCUAUGGAUAGCCCUGCCAAGCCUCACCCAACCCCGGGUGAGGAGUACGAAAAACUCUAGGAGCCCCUAUCCUACAACCCUGAUACUAGAU